UACAGAGGUCUCAAGCGUUGUUCGGAUUCAUUGGGCGUAAAGGGUGCGUAGGCGGCGUGGUAAGUCGGAUGUGAAAUCUCGGAGCUUAACUCCGAAACUGCAUUCGAUACUGCCGUGCUUGAGGACUGGAGAGGAGACUGGAAUUUACGGUGUAGCGGUGAAAUGCGUAGAUAUCGUAAGGAAGACCAGUGGCGAAGGCGGGUCUCUGGACAGCUCCUGACGCUGAGGCACGAAGGCCAGGGGAGCAAACGGG
rnacentral:rRNA from 1 species